rnacentral:lncRNA from 1 species
AGAAGCCUGCCUACUCCCCAGUAUCUUCCCCACUGGUUAUUAUUAUUCAAUGCAGGAAGAAGAGACCACUCACCUGUAAUUUCAACAGCAACAAAAGACCUGAGGUUCCACCAUCAGAACUUCACGCCCUAAGGAAGAUGCAGCAUUUCCUGUAAAAUGCAAGUGCUCCCAGGCAGAGGUAGCUCCCGAAGCCAUGAUCACUGGACAGGCUUUAGGGACCUGCUUGAGCAGAACAUGGUAGAAGUGAUGGACUGGGGCUUCUGAGGCUAAGCCAUAAGAAGCCUUGAGAAUUUCACCUGGCCCUCACUGUCUCUGGGAGCCCUGAGCCAUGAUAGAAGAAGUCCUUCCUAUAUUGAAUGUCCUUGAGACCUCCAGUACUGGAAAGGGCAUUUGUAGAUGCUCAGACCAACAGUCCAAACUGAGCCCAGUCUGCCAACUUGCCCUGCCAAGGUGUCAGAUGCAUAUGUGAAUGAGACCAUCCUAGACCUGCUGAUAGCCCAUCACCCGGCUGACUGCUACUGAGUAACCUCUGCCAACUUCACGCCGAACACAGAACUGCUGAUUUGAACUCUGCCUGAAUUUCUUGGCCCACAGAACAAUGAGAU